UCGAGAAUUUUUCACAAUGGGCGCAAGCCUGAUGGAGCGACGCCGCGUGGGGGAUGAAGGGUUUCGAUCCGUAAACCCCUGUCAUUUGCGAACAAACCUUGAUUGUGAAUAGCGAUCGAGCUGAUUGUAGCGGAAGAGGAAGGGACGGCUAACUCUGUGCCAGCAGCCGCGGUAAUACAGAGGUCCCAAGCGUUGUUCGGAUUCACUGGGCGUAAAGGGUGCGUAGGUGGUCGGUGAAGUUCGGUGUGAAAGCUCGGAGCUCAACUCCGAAACGGCAUUGAAAGCUCAUCGGCUGGAGGGUCGGAGGGGAGGCUGGAAUUCUCGGUGUAGCAGUGAAAUGCGUAGAUAUCGAGAGGAACACCAGUGGCGAAGGCGAGUCUCUGGACGACUCCUGACACUGAGGCACGAAAGCCAGGGGAGCAAACAG
rnacentral:rRNA from 1 species